GGGGGGGGGGGAGGAGAAGAGAAGCAGCUUUUCGCUCUAUUCAGCCUGGACGCGGGAGCGCGGACGAUUUCCGCUCCCAUUGUGAGGCGGGGCCCGGGGGCGGCCGUGAAUGGGGGGUCUGCCGAGCGGCCCGCGGGGCUGUCAGGCGGCUCAGCGUAAUCAGGGCUAAUGACGGUGGCCGGGCGCUCCGCGGGACAAUGCGCGGGGCCGCGGGGUUUUGUCGGCCUGAAUGGCUAAUAGGUUCGCCUGGGGGUGCGAGGGGGGCGGUGUCGGGGAAGAGGCGGCGGCGAGGGGAAAAGGGGUCAUUGUUCGCGCACCGGCCCGGGCGCCGAGGCGCGUCCCUCUCCCCGCGCGGCGGCCCCCGGGCCGGGAGCGGCCGACUGGAAGGCCGCGGCCGGGAGGCCCCCUGGAGGCCUGCUGCGACAGGGCGGCGGGAACGGCGGGUGCGUGGGUUCCGCGUACGGGAGGCAGCCCCGACACAACUCUGUUCCCCGGAGACGCCCAGAGGCUUUUAACUCUGCCUGGGGCUGCUUGUCAUCUAUUUGAAGCUCUCCAAAGGGACCUUAGCCCAUUCUGCAAUUCCGGAUAACCCGAAAUUUUGAGGCACCACCUCUCCCCCAUUCUGUGUGGAUCUGGUGGAGCUACUAAUCAGUAUCAUACUUCCAUUCCCCAUCACCUCCACCAAGGGGCAGAACUGCAAGCCAUGCCAAGCUGACCACAGGACUGUAGUCCUCUGAAGAUAGUGACUGGCCUGAGUGGCCAGUUUGACAAGUAAUCCAACACAGAGAGAUCAAUAUUCAUGAAAUUUUCCAAAUUGAAAGCCGAUAGUUUUCUCUCUCCUGUUGAAGAUGAACAUAUAGAACAAGGACACCAGUAACGACAUCUGCAUUGCCAGAGGCCAUAUUUCCGUCAUAAGGAGAAAUGCCCUAUAAAAUAGAAAAGAACAAAACUAAGCCGAAAGGAGAGACCAAUAAAAAAGGAGAAUCCUAAAACUAUCA
rnacentral:lncRNA from 1 species